CAUUUUAACAAAUAGCACUGGGGGAGCCCUGAGGACUCAAAGAUGAGCGAGAUGGGACUCUUGUCCAGGAGCUAACAAUCCGAGAAGUUUGUGAAAGAUGGCCAAGCGCAUAACAAUGUAAGAAGCAUAAAGUUAUCAGCAUGAAGAGAGGGGUCUGGAAGCCGACGACAGCAGAGGCCCAGUUCUUCUGAGGAAUAAAUGAUAGCACAGUAGAUCCAAGUUCGUGGUUGUCUCCAGUACUCAGCUUCCCUACAGCGCUGCUCUCCUGGUGACGCCCUCCCUGUUCACUGCACAUCGGUCUCAGUCCACCUCGCCACACCACCGGUCCUCACUACACAUACCAAGAUCUCCUUUUCCGCCUAGACCUCCUCAUUUUAAAACCCACGAUUCCACACGUGUGAGUGUGUGCACAGAGACGUACUGUCUCCUUCCACUUGAACAUGCGGUCCACAAGGACAGGAAGUUUGAUUCCUGCUACACCCCAAAUGCCCAGGAUGGACAGUGCCCCCACACUGUA
rnacentral:lncRNA from 1 species